UCGUAUCGCACACAAUUCCCCAACUGUCUUAAUUAGUCCUGAGGUUCCAAGUAACGGGGCCCCAGUUGUCGCCCCUUGGAAUGUCGCUUCUGUCUCAAGUGACUGAUCCUUACCCGCCCAUCUCUCUCUGGGUUGACUGUAGGUUUGCUUUAUUAUUCCUGGAAGAGCAUACAUUAUGACAUAUAUGUAAUAUUGUUGCAAUGUGCCGACGUAUGGAUGAACUGGCAGUCGUGUACGUGAGGCGAGUGUUGAUGAUCUUCCGACACGCGGACAACAAGAAGCAGAGGCAGGGCUAGAUGUUAGCACAAAGAGGGAUCGGGGACAGCCCACGGGACAGAGGUAGAGGCCAUGACACCAACUUUGAUGUUUAUCACCGAGACAUGGAGAGAAAAGACUGUGUGCAAGACAGACAGGCUGAAGCGAACUGCUGAAAAACACCCCCUAGAACAUCUGCCGACACCCUGCCAAAACUUGUCCUGUUUUGGGGGGUCUCUAUAUGAAUGUCCCUCGGGACCCCACAUGGGCUGGGCGUUGCCUUUUUCCACCCCUCUGUCCCUGCUGCCACCAGCUGACCGCUCUCUCUUUAUUUUGAUGUCACCAAUUUUAGUUUAUAUAUAAAAAAAGGGUGUACAGGUUAUAUUAAUAAAGAUAUAACAUAUAUACAAAAUAUGGGGGUGGUAUCAAAUAGAAACGGUGUACAUUUUAAUACAUUUUAAAAUAUACUAUAUAUAUCUUAUAUUAAAAAAAAGAGAGAUUUGAUUUUCUGCUUGUAUAUUUAUGAUCAAUUCGGGGAUUAUGCUAUGGAGUUAUUUGUUGGUUCUUUUUAGUAUUAAAUGGUAUUGGUGAUGCAGUCGUGGCUAAAAUCUUGAAAGUAAAAUAAUAAAAAUAGUAAAGAUUAGAAAUUGCUUUAAUUGAGCUAAGAAAUAUAAAAACAUAAUUUAAUAAAUGUAUUGCCUGGCUUAAGGCGUAAGAAUAAAAAAAAUAAAAGCUUAUUUACAUAAUGUACAAAAGUUUUGAGCCGACCAACGGGGAAGAACAACAAUGAGUAUUUAUAGGGGAAGCGUGACUUCUGGCGGUCGAUUUAGCAGUAUUUGUAUCUAUGUAAUAUAUUUUCAAAUAAAAUAAUUAAUAAAUAUUAAUAAAUAUUUUUAAAUAUUUUAUAAUAUUAAUAAUUAAUAAAUAUUAAAAAAUAUAACAUUUUAAAUAAAAUAUUUUAAUAUAACAUAUAUGUCAUAAUUUGUAUAUAAUUAGAUGUAACCCCACCACAAUAUGUAUGCAAUGUAUGAUCUAAAUAUUUUAAUAAAGGUUAGGCCUAGCGAAUCUGGAGAGAGAAAGGCCAUCAGAGAGAAGAAACAAUCAUUAGCAGGUUUUCAUUAUCCAGGAAGCAAAAGUUAUUACCCAGGAACUAAUAAAACUGAGUUCAAGAACCUUUUUCUUCCGGGAGCAUGUUAAAACAUGAUAAAGACAAAGGAAUAGCUAAGAUCCAAUCAGAGUCCAGCAGGACUAGCUAAGAGCCAAUCAGAGACCGCCACGACUCGAGAAUGAUCCAAUGAGAGCAUUGGAGAGUUAACGAGUUAAUUCUCGGACUCAAGUUAGUUAGUUAGUACCUGGACCUGCCAAGGAACAAGUUAGGAACUUGGCACCAUCGCAACAAGUUGGAGCUCGCCACCAUCUUUCUCAGCACCCAGAUAAGUCCAAUGUUCAAUAUGUGAACAGCCUAGCCUUAGUCAAAUACGCCAAUAGUCUAAACCUUCUCUCCCUUGAUCGCUGGCAUAUUUCUCAAUCUAAUCCUGUGUCCUGUCUCGUUAUUUUCCCCUGUGAGAAUACUUUACCAUUUCAGCCAAAACGACUGCGCCCACAUCAACCACCAAGUAAGCCAACAGGGACUUACUGCUUACGACAACCAUCAAUCACUCAACAAACAACCAAUCACUAAACCAAUCACCCCAAAAGUCCCGGUUAUUUUAUAUAUAUACUAGCGAACCCGGCCACGCGUUGCUGUGGCUAUAUUUAAAUAUGUUAAAUUAACAUUAUACUAAACUAUUCAGUACAGUAAAGUUAAUAUUCACUUAUAAAGAUAAAAAUGUUUUAGCCGAGCUAAAGCCCUACGGGAUUGAGAAUGGAACGUUACGUUAAAAUUUGAAAGUGAUUUUUAUAUAUAUAGAUAAUAUAGCCCUUUAUUGUAAUCAUUGAUUAUAUUCACUGCAUUAAUAAAUGUCAGUGAACCUGUUUUUUUAUUUUUGAAUUAAAUGAUCUAGCCGAACCCGGGCAGACGUUGCCCUGCCUCUACGCACCUCUCUAUAUAUAAAAAUGGAUGCCUGUAUGUGUUUGUAAUCAAGAAUCUAGCAUGUGCUGGGGAAAAAUUAAAGAUGAGUCAUAAAGAAUUGAUGAAAAAAUAUAUAGAUUUUAUUAAUAGCAAUAUUUGAAUGAAUAUUGUAUCAUAUGAAAACUAAUCUAUCGUAACGCGAGUGGAUACACAAUAUUUUUGGUCCUCUCGUUUGGUGCGUAGAUAUAUAGAUUUUUUGGCGUUCCAACUCGGGAGCAAGCGACGUAGAGUUGACCAUGUGAAAAACAUGGAUUUCCUAAAUGCAAACCGUCAACUCGCAGCGACUGUCCUUGGGAUUUGUUGAUUGUCAUUGCGAAAGCGAGACGCACGGGAAACUGAAGUCGCUUGAAUGUGAAGGGCAAAUCAGUGGGGAUCAUUGGAAUGCGCGGAAUGAGCACAUCCUCUCCUUUACAUUUGCCACUGAUUAUCGUCGUUUCAAUCACAUUCGGCAUCAACCUUUUUACGGAAAGUCUGGUUCCGUUGCACAACUUGGGUGUGUUGAGAUUCCGAAGAAGCAAUAUUGGCGAGCCAACUUUCAACGACAAUACAUGCGGUGGCAUUCCAGGAGGCUCCAAUGAAUUGAGAAAUUCGACUGGAUAAUUGACAGCUUGGUCCUCUUCUGUGACUGUGUCAAUAGAUUUGUAUUGCGUGACCGCUCCAGGAAUUUUCAAUUGUAUCUUAUGAUUGAUGCGAUUGACGUCAUCAUUCUUCGGAGCUAAGAUAGCUCGCUCGCAAAGCCAGUCGUGAUUCUUGUAAUUAGUGGCAAUAUCCGGGAAACUACCUUUUCAAGAUCUCCAAUUGACGCCUGAAGUUGACAGAAGUUCGGUGGGAACGAUAUCUCGUGUGUUGCAGGAUCAACCGGAAUUUUGCCGUCGCCCAUAUUCAAAAGCUGCUUGGCAAAUGUUUGUGCAGAAACAUCUCCAUGUAAAUGCACACGCAUAUUGGUCGACAGUGUAAUUUUCUUCAUAUGUCUCCAGAGAGCCGAAUUCUUCAAGCAUGCGUUCAGCUCAUCUGCUGGUGUUGCUCUUGGAAUGACAGGCAAGAUUUGACGGAAAUCACCAGCGAGCAGUAUCAGAGCUCCACCCAUUAGGCGUUGAUUGCCUCGGAAAUCGCGAAGAGUACGAUCAAGUGCCUCAAGCGCUUUCUUGUGAGCCAUCGUACAUUCAUCCCAAAUGAUGAUUUGGCACGUUUUCAACACAGUGGCCAUUCCUGAUGUUUUUCCGAUGUUGCAGAGAGGAACGUCGGCUAUAUUCAAAUUCAAUGGCAGCUUGAAUGCCGAAUGCGCCGUACGUCCUCCAUCGAGCAGUGUUGCCGCAAUUCCCGACGAUGCCACAGCCAGAGCAAUCUCAUGUUUCAUACGAAUUUCGGCGAGAAUCAAAUUGAGCAAAAAUGUUUUCCCAGUUCCUCCUGGGGCAUCAAGGAACAGAAGACCACCAUUUCCGGUUCGCACAUGCUCAGUGACUGUGUUGUACGCAAGGUUUUGUUCGUUUGUUAAGAGUCUUUUCUGAGUCUCAACAUAAACUUGCAGCGUAUCAGCGUCGUAUUGCAUUUCUCGCAACAUAUCUCUGUCGACAGCAUCAUUUCUGCCACGCUCGGGUGAGAUCAAGCCAAGCUGAUUGAGGAUUUUGUUGUUGAUCGACAAACAUAUAUCCUCAAGUGAUAUCAGCGCUUCAUUGAAAAUUUCAUCCGAAUUCUGCGCAUUGGGGUUAGCACUACGUACACGGCGAAGUAUGUCUUCGCUCAUACUCUCUUUAUGCUUCUCCCAUAGGCCUUUUGGGUCUGAAGGCGAGCAGGUUGUCAAAAUGAUAGCAAACAGAGUUCGUAUUUGCUUAGGAUGACAUGUUUCAGAUGCUUCUGCCAGUGUGUUGUCCCAAUGCUGAUCAUUUUCAAGCAGACCAAGCUUGAAGCAUGCCUCUCUAUAUGUCUGACAGAUUUGGCCGUUGACGGUUUUGAUAGCUUCGAACGAUUUCGGUCCUUUGACUACAUGAAGCAGCAUUCGCAAAUAGUAGCAUUCAGCAUUGCUCGGAUGGACAGUAUACACUCGCCCCAAUGCGCCAGUGGAAAACACCUGAACCAUUGAAGAGUGCAGCAUGCCUUUUUUUUCUCCGUUGCCACUUCUUCGUUGACUGAUUCCAUGUGUAAUACGUCGGAACCUGAUGAUACAGCAAUGUUGCAGCGAAUGUGUCACUGGCACACAAUUGAAAAAAUGCAGUCAACGUUGUAUUGGGUGGAUUUUCAGCUCGCUGGGCCGCGCUCUCUUCUGUGAAGUAUACUCGUUGACCAUUUUCCAAAUGCACACUGAGAUGGACGACAGCAGGAGAGCGUUCGUGGAUGUCAAAGCCAAGGAUUCGCCAUACAGCUUCAUUGCUGCUGAUAUAACGUCCCAUUUGAAACUGGUCGAUUUCAUUGACGGGUGCAUUUGGAUUUUGAAGUCCAAAAACUGCCAUAUCACUGCCCUUAUUCACGUAUUUACAAAUGUAUUUGAUCGAUUUGACAGAAUUGCAAAACUCCACGUUGAUAUGCGCAUCAAAUGCUUUCGAGAGCAAAGGAGAGUAAGGCACAAUCCACCGGUUAUCAACCUCAAAAUCAACGUGAUUGAGUUUGAUUGUUGCUGUGUGGCCACCAUCCUCUGGUUUUCGUCGUCUGUACAGAGGAUAACCGUCGCCACCAGUUUGUGUGUCAUGCACCAGGUCUCUUGGAUACUUUUUGGUGCAUUUGCCAUCCUUUAUGCACGGUGAAUGUGGGUUUUGCCAUCCACACGGUCCGUGAAUCAUAUAUUUCUUGAUAAUCUGGUACAAUUCAGGACUUCUUGUGGAUCAGGCAGCUCAGCAGAAAUGAUAUUAUCGAUUUGAGUUGGAAGAAUCUUUUCCUCCAACCAAAUCAAGAUGUGAGCAUGUGGAGUGCCUCUUUUUUGCCAUUCGAUGGAAUACAUCCAGCAGCGUGUUGGACCGUAUAUAUGGUUCUUAACGAUGAGAUCAAUAAAACAUUUCAAUUUCUGUUUGAAAACUCUCGUUGUGAGGUCAUGCCGAUGAGAUGACUGUUGGCCAGGCAGAAGUAGAAUUUUGAUUUCGGCCCAUGCUGGAUUGCAAGUGAAUGUGAGGAAAAGAUCUGGACGUCCAUAUGUGCGAACAUAAGUCAUAGCAUCCUGAGCAUAUUCAUGCAUAUGUCUCGGACUUCCAGCGUACGAAGCUGGAAGUAUGACCAUUUGCCCAAUGUUUGCAGCAGCAGCGGCUCCAUCAUUCGCGAUUGCAUCCCGCAAAAGUAUGUAUUGGUCAGCUCGAAGCUUUGACUGAUUGAAGCGAAUGUAGUUGAGACGUUCGCUUUCGACUUUGGCAUACAUGUCAACGAUGAAUUGUUGGAAAAGUUGGCGACACUUCAGGAUGUGGUUGGAUUCCUGGGCUCGAAUCAUGAUGCGAUAUGCAUAGAAGUCCAUACAGCUGACUUUUUUCAUUGUCACGGCGCCUGAGAUAGGAUGAACUUGAUACAGUUCGAGAUGAUAUCCGUCUUCACCGCGCGGAAAAAUUAUUGGAUAUUGAAGGGCGUCGUACGAUCGGUGCGUUUCAGCAAUACGUUGCUUGGUUCCAUCUCGUCUGCAGAUAACAAUAUCUCGUCGGGCGAUCUCUGUACCGACAAUCACAGCUGCUACCUCAGGAGCCAUCGGAGCAUUGAAGCGUCGUUCAUGCUCAUUCGUCGGCGUCUUGUCUGCCCUGAUGAUGACUUUCAUAUCAUCCGCUCGCACAUUCUCUACUGCGGAUUUGAAGUCUCGGACCAAACAGUUGUGCUCGUGGAAUAGCGUUUGUAAUUCAGCGAUGAUUGCCCGCCUUGUUGCUUCACUGAAUGCGCAUCGUCGAUCAAUCUCCUCCUCCACGUUGUCCAUGAAAUAAAUCUGCAAAAACCUCGGAUCUUCAUUGGAUACUGGAAGAAGGGAACCAAUCUGAUGGUACACUUGCCCUUGCACUUUGAAUGUGGGCUCGAAAUUUCCAAAACGCUCAAUAUGCGUCGCUCCAAACGAUGUCAUUUGGAAGCAUGAGUUGUACUUCCGAAUAUGCUGAAGGAAAUGUUUCGACUCCCGAGUUGCUCCAGCUACGUAUGUUAGAAGUGGCUGUGGCGGCUCAACCAUCGGAGGCAAAUUGACUUUCCCAUUGGAGCAACACAUCCCGGGCGUUUCCUUCUGAAACUUCAAUGCAUGACAGUGUAGACACAGUUUAUCCAUUGGACCAAUGACCAAAUCUUGAUGCAUUUUGUAAUCGUAUUGUUUAUCGUAGUUGGACGCAGCUUUUUUUAGAGCGAUCCUCGUUCGUGAUCGAGCCUGGCGUGAGCGUUGUGCCUCAUGUCGUGCAUCUCGCUCUUCGGGUGUUUCAGCAGCCCUUGAAGUAGACGCUCUGACUCGAUCGAUUUCCCAUCGUGUGUCUCGCUGUUCGGGUGUUGCAGCAGCUCUUGAAGUAGACGCUCUGACUCGAUCAAUUUCCAUUCGUGUGUCUCGCUGUUCGGGUGUUGCAGCAGCCCUUGAAGUAGACGCUCUGAUUCGUUCGAUUUCCCGUCGUGUGUCCCGCUGUUCGGGUGUUGCAGCAGCUCUUGAAGUAGACGCUCUGACUCGAUCAAUUUCCCGUCGUGUGUCACGCUGUUUGGGUGUUGCAGCAGCUCUUGAAGUAGACGCUCUGACUCGAUCAAUUUCCCGUCGUGUGUCUCGCUGUUCGGGUUUUGCAGCAGCUCUUGAAGUAGACGCUCUGACUCGAUCAAUUUCCCGUCGUGUGGCUCGCUGUUCGGGUGUUGCAGCAGCUCUUGAAGUAGACGCUCUGACUCGAUCAAUUUCCAUUCGUGUGUCUCGCUCUUCGGGUGUUGCAGCAGCUCUUGAAGUAGACGCUCUGAUUCGUUCGAUUUCCCGUCGUGUGUCUCGCUGUUCGGGUGUUGCAGCAGCUCUUGAGGUAGACGCUCUGACUCGAUCAAUUUCCCGUCGUGUGUCCCGCUGUUCGGGUCUUGCAGCAGCUCUUGAAGUAGACGCUCUGACUCGAUCAAUUUCCCGUCGUGUGUCUCGCUGUUCGGGUGUUGCAGCAGCUCUUGAAGUAGACGCUCUGACUCGAUAAAUUUCCCGUCGUGUGUCUCGCUCUUCGGGUGUUGCAGCAGCUCUUGAAGUAGACGCUCUGACUCGAUCAAUUUCCCGUCGUGUGUCUCGCUCUUCGGGUGUUGCAGCAGCUCUACUGGCUGACACUUGCCGCGCAUUUCUGGUUGAUCUUCCAAUGUUGUUCUUUCUUCGUGGCAUUUCAAAAACGUCUUACAAUUCAACGUUUGGUGACAAAUGAGUCAUCCGAAGAUAGAAGGCAAUGACCUACAACGAAACAAAAAUACAUAUUUUUACUAUUCUAUUCACAUCUAGUGUAAGGGCGAGUAGAUUAACAAUAUUUUCGGUUUGGUAAUUUGGUAUCUUAAUGUAAAGAGGUCAAGAGGUGAACACAAUUCCAAUGUAACUGAUAUUAAAUUUCAAACGCACUCAGAAAUUAGUAAUCGCUAUUUGUUAAUUUAAUAAUUUUGUAGGGAGAGAAACGCAUAAAAGCCGAAAAUAACAGUUCAGAGUGAUUCUUUGAAAGGCCAGUAAAGGUUUCAAAUGUUUACAUUUAUUCUUGGUAGCAGGUUAAUCACAUGUAUGACAUUUAGGACCUACUGUAACAUAACAUGGCAACUAUCUUAUUCUUUAUAUAAUCUAGCCCUUCAUUGUAAACAUUGACUAUUGAUUAUAGUCACUGCAUUAAUAAAUGUCAGCGAACUUGUUUAUAUGUAUUGUUUUUUGUUUUUGAGAUAUUCUAAUAGAACGUUCUCACAAUUUGUGUAAAAUAUUUAUAUAUGCACAAACACAUAAUUUAAAAAUAUGUCUUAAAAUUUGCUAUAAUAAUUGUUAUAAAUAUUAUUUUAAAAUAAUUCGCCAGAAAUUGUCCGGGUAGUAUACUAAACAACUUCCCAAAGAUUAUAAUCACUGCAUUAAUAAAUGUUAGUGAACUUGUUUAUAUGUAUUGUUUUUUGUUUUUGAGAUAUUCUAAUAGAACGUUCCUAUACAGCCUAGUGCGGUAUAUUUAGUAUAAGAGCUUUAGAGAGUAGAUAAGUAACUAUACAGUAGAUGGACUUGCCUUCAAUGCCGCUCCAGGUAGAUUCCCCCUCGGUUAAUCCACACAGUCCCAGAGCCCACCUCCUCUAGCCAACUUGCCGCGUUUGUCGUCACCGCCCUUCUCUCUCACUCCCCCCCCCCGCUUCCUCCCACAUUGGAAUGUCGCCUGGACUUU